CCUACGGGAGGCAGCAGGGGGGAAUAUUGGACAAUGGGCGCAAGCCUGACCCAGCAACGCCGCGUGAAGGAAGAAGGCCCUCGGGUUGUAAACUUCUUUUAUCAGGGACGAAGCAGUGACGGUACCUGAUGAAUAAGCCACGGCUAACUACGUGCCAGCAGCCGCGGUAAUACGUAGGUGGCAAGCGGUAUCCGGAUUUACUGGGUGUAAAGGGCGUGUAGGCGGGGAAGCAAGUAAGAUGUGAAAUUCCAGGGCUCAACCCUGGAACUGCAUUUGAAACUGGUUUUCUUGAGUGAUGGAGAGGCAGGCGGAAUUCCGUGUGUAGCGGUGAAAUGCGUAGAUAUACGGAGGAACACCAGUGGCGAAGGCGGCCUGCUGGACAUUAACUGACGCUGAGGCGCGAAAGCGUGGGGAGCAAACAGGAUUAGAUACCCGGGUAGUC
rnacentral:rRNA from 1 species